rnacentral:lncRNA from 1 species
UAAAUAUAUCUUUGCCAACAUUUUCUAGUUUUUUUCUUAUGAAAACAAGACGGUAGUUGCUAAAUAUAUCAUAAGACUAAACUUUAUCAACCUGUGUCUGAAAGAAAAAUGAUUUUCAUACUAGCUGAGAAAACUUACCUUGAUACUUCCUCAUCAGUCUUUCCCACUAGUAACAACCUAAAAUUUCCAUAUUGGUUUCUC